UACGUAGGGUGCAAGCGUUAAUCGGAAUUACUGGGCGUAAAGCGUGCGCAGGCGGCUUUGCAAGACAGAUGUGAAAUCCCCGGGCUCAACCUGGGAACUGCAUUUGUGAUUGCAAGGCUGGAGUACGGCAGAGGGGGAUGGAAUUCCGCGUGUAGCAGUGAAAUGCGUAGAUAUGCGGAGGAACACCGAUGGCGAAGGCAAUCCCCUGGGCCUGUACUGACGCUCAUGCACGAAAGCGUGGGGAGCAAACAGG
rnacentral:rRNA from 1 species